AGUUUGAUCAUGGCUCAGGAUGAACGCUGGCGGCGUGCCUAACACAUGCAAGUCGAGCGAUUCUCUUCGGAGAAGAGCGGCGGACGGGUGAGUAACGCGUGGGUAACCUGCCCUGUACACACGGAUAACAUACCGAAAGGUAUGCUAAUACGAGAUAAUAUACUUUUAUCGCAUGGUAGAAGUAUCAAAGCUUUUGCGGUACAGGAUGGACCCGCGUCUGAUUAGCUAGUUGGUACGGUAAACGGGCUUACCAAGGCGACGAUCAGUAGCCGACCUGAGAGGGUGAUCGGCCACAUUGGAACUGAGACACGGUCCAAACUCCUACGGGAGGCAGCAGUGGGGAAUAUUGCACAAUGGGCGAAAGCCUGAUGCAGCAACGCCGCGUGAGCGAUGAAGGCCUUCGGGUCGUAAAGCUCUGUCCUCAAGGAAGAUAAUGACGGUACUUGAGGAGGAAGCCCCGGCUAACUACGUG
rnacentral:rRNA from 1 species